rnacentral:miRNA from 1 species
UAAAUGCCUUUGACUACUACAUACAUAUGCCUACUACUACUUUCAUAUGUGCAUAUGUAUGUAGUAGUCAAAGGUAUUUA